UGAUUGUGCCAGCAGCCGCGGUAAUACGUAGGGUGCGAGCGUUAAUCGGAAUUACUGGGCGUAAAGCGUGCGCAGGCGGUUCGACAAGUCAGCUGUGAAAGCCCCGGGCUUAACCUGGGAACUGCGGUUGAAACUGGAGGACUAGAAUCUGGCCAGAGGGGGGUUGGAAAUUCCACGUUGUAGCCAGUUGAAAUGCCGUUAGAGAUGUUGGAAGGAACCACCGAAUGGCGAAAGGCCAGCCCCCUUGGGCCUGAGAAUUGAACCCCCUCAGGCCCGCCAAAAAUCCCUUUGGGGAAGGCCCAAAACAGGAAUUAAAUUCCCCCUUGGUUU
rnacentral:rRNA from 1 species